rnacentral:rRNA from 1 species
UACGUAGGGAGCAAGCGUUGUCCGGAAUCAUUGGGCGUAAAGCGCGCGUAGGCGGCCCUGUAAGUCCGUUGUGAAAGUCAAAGGCUCAACCUUUGAAAGCCGAUGGAUACUGCAGGGCUAGAGUCCGGAAGAGGCGAGUGGAAUUCCUGGUGUAGCGGUGGAAUGCGCAGAUAUCAGGAGGAACACCAGUGGCGAAGGCGGUGGUCUGGGCCGAUACUGACGCUGUAGAGCGAAAGCGUGGGGAGCGAACAGG